UUGAAGCUUUGUAUGGUAGGCGUUGUCGUACUCCUUUGUGUUGGAGUGAUAUUGGUGAGUCGGUUGUGAUUGGUCCAGAGAUGAUUCAGGAGACUGUUGAGCAGGUCAAGCUCAUCCAGCAGAAAAUGAAGGCGGCGCAAGAUAGACAGAAGAGCUAUCGUGAUAAGCAUCGUCGCCAUAAGGAGUUUCAGGUGAGAGAGAAAGUGUUGCUUAGGGUCUCUCCUAUGAAAGGCGUUAUGAGAUUUGGGAAGAAGGGCAAGUUGAGCCCUAAGUUCAUUGGCCCGUAUGAGAUUCUGGAGAGAAUAGGAGAUGUGGCUUAUAGAUUGGCAUUGCCGCCAGGCGUUGAUCGUGCGCAUAACGUGUUCCAUGUUUCUCAGUUGCGGUGAUAUAUUAGUGACCCUUCGCAUGUGCUACAGCCAAAGUCUCUCCAGUUAGAUGAUAACAUGACUUAUGAGGAGUUUCCAGUUCAGAUUCUAGAUCACAAAGUCCGAAAGACUCGCAAAGGUGAGACGAAGAUCGUGAAGGUGCUGUGGUCAAACCACAACUCGGAGGAGUCUACUUGGGAAGCUGAGGAUGCGAUGCGUCUUAAGUAUCCCCAUCUCUUCACUCAGGUAAAUUUUUAGUUACGAGGACGUAACUCUAUUUUAAGGGGGGUAGAAUUCAUAAUAGUUACGUUCGUUAGUGUUGGAAGUUGUUAUGGUAACAUGUGAUUAAAAUUUUUCUGAUAAAGUUUUGGCUUGAUGUGUUUCACUCCCUACUUGUUAUAUUACGAUGAUUCCUACGAUAAAGUUCGUGAGCUAUUUUGAGAUACAAGAGUAUAAGUUUGAUCAUUUGAGUAAUACUUUAAGUUUCGGGACGAAACUUAUUUUAAGGGGGGUAGUUUGUAACACCCCAUAUUUUUAUACCCGUUUAGUAAUUAGUUGCAUUAAUUUAUUUUAAGAAAAUAAUUCCAGAUUUCUUUUAUUAAAAAUAUAUAUUUCUUUUUCUAGCUUUGACUUUACCUUUGAAGUGGUCAAAUAAAAAAACUAAAUCCUAGAUUUUCUAGGUUAAUCAAGUCACCUAACUAAUCUAUCAUAAAGGUAGAAUAAGCAAAAGAAAAAAAAACAAAACAAAAGAAAAAAUAAAAGAGGCAAAAAGGGUUCAGUAAGCUUCCCCGUAGCCCUUCCCCUUUUAUUUCUUCAUUCUUCUUUAUUCACCUUAUUCUCCAUCUAUUUUUCCUCUAAUUCUUGAUCUAACACCAUGAUUUUAUAAAUUUUGUUCAACUUUAUCACAAUUCAGACCUUCUUCUCAUCUGUCUUUUAUAUUACUUGAGUUUGUGGGUAUUUUAAAGAAGAAAAACUUGGUUCUUGAUCUAGUGAACGUUUGGCGCGAAAAUCAGAUCAAAUGGGUGACUUUUGAGUCUUUUCUUGAGUAAUUUCAUUUCACUGUUCAAAUUGCGGGUUCGUAGCGGAACCUUUUUGACUUGAGAUUGAGAUUUGUUAACUGUGGUUGGUGAUAAGGGACUUGAAGAUAGUUAGCUCCAGUUGGGUUAAAGAGUGCGUUGGAUCCCUUUUGAUUUAAUAGGACUUUAUAAAGACUUCCGCUGUUAUUUAUUUAUAAGAUUUAUGUUCUGGUUUGUAAUAAUUAUUUUUACAGUCUAUUUAGUUGGUCUGUAAUAAUUAGUUAAAACUUAUUGGUUAUUGUUUUAGUUAGAACCAUUAGCCUUGCGGUUAUUAUUAAUAAUUAUCGCGGCGUA